GCCUGGGUGGCUCAGUCGGUUGAGCAUCUGACUUCAGCUCAGGUCAUGAUCUCAGGUU
rnacentral:tRNA from 1 species